ACCUAGGAGGUACCUAUAUAUUUAAUACCUCGUAUAUCGUAAUAUCAACACCGUGAUCCGGCCGGUAAUGCCUCUACGAUAAUGCCUCUCGUAUUAUGUAAACGUUACACUGCCACAGGCCGUCUCCGGGAGGGAUCGACGAAAAAAAAUUCCUGAUUCCCUGAUAAUACCCGUGUAAGCAGGUAUUAUGCGUACGUAAUAGCGUAUAAGAAGAUAUCGGAAUGAAAUGCUCAUAUACCGAGAGAAUAAGUUGCACG